rnacentral:rRNA from 1 species
CCUACGGGCGGCAGCAGUGGGGAAUAUUGGACAAUGGGCGAAAGCCUGAUCCAGCCAUGCCGCGUGUGUGAAGAAGGCCUUCGGGUUGUAAAGCACUUUCAGUGGGGAAGAAAGCCUUGGGGCUAAUACCCUCGAGGAAGGACAUCACCCACAGAAGAAGCACCGGCUAACUCCGUGCCAGCAGCCGCGGUAAUACGGAGGGUGCGAGCGUUAAUCGGAAUUACUGGGCGUAAAGCGCGCGUAAGCGGUCUGAUAAGCCGGUUGUGAAAGCCCCGGGCUCAACCUGGGAACGGCAUCCGGAACUGUCAGGCUAGAGUGCAGGAGAGGAAGGUAGAAUUCCCGGUGUAGCGGUGAAAUGCGUAGAGAUCGGGAGGAAUACCAGUGGCGAAGGCGGCCUUCUGGACUGACACUGACGCUGAGGUGCGAAAGCGUGGGUAGCAAACAGGAUUAGAUACCCCGGUAGUC